rnacentral:misc_RNA from 1 species
UCCAGUUAUACAAGAUUCCGC